rnacentral:rRNA from 1 species
UGAGUACGAGCUGCUACGGCAGCGAAGUGGGUGAUGUCAAGCUUCCAAGAAAAGCCCUAUACCCGUUAAGGCAUGAUGGCCUGUACCCGAAACCGACACAGGUGGGGUGGUAGAGAAUACCGAGGGGCGCGAGAUAACUCUCUCUAAGGAACUCGGCAAAAUGGCCCCGUAACUUCGGGAGAAGGGGUGCCACCGCAAGGUGGUCGCAGUGAAGAGGCCCAGGCGACUGUUUACCAAAAACACAGGUCUCCGCUAAGUCGCAAGACGAUGUAUGGGGGCUGACGCCUGCCCAGUGCCGGAAGGUUAAGGAAGCUGGUCAGCGUAAGCGAAGCUAGCGACUGAAGCCCCGGUGAACGGCGGCCGUAACUAUAACGGUCCUAAGGUAGCGAAAUUCCUUGUCGGGUAAGUUCCGACCCGCACGAAAGGCGUAACGAUCUGGGCGCUGUCUCGGAGAGAGGCUCGGCGAAAUAGAAUUGUCUGUGAAGAUGCGGACUACGUGCACCCGGACAGAAAGACCCUAUGAAGCUUUACUGUAGCUUGGUAUUGUGCUCGGGCUCGGAAUGCGCAGGAUAGGUGGGAGGCUAUGAACCAUUGCUUGUGGGUGAUGGUGAGCCACUGGUGAGAUACCACUCUUUCCGAGCUAGAGUUCUAACAGCCACCCGUUAUCCGGGGGCUGGACAGUAUCAGGUGGGCAGUUUGACUGGGGCGGUCGCCUCCUAAAAGGUAACGGAGGCGCGCAAAGGUUUGCUCAGGCUGGUUGGAAAUCAGCCGACGAGUGUAAAAGCAGAAGCAAGCUUGACUGUGAGACCUACAAGUCGAACAGGGAGGAAACUCGGCUUUAGUGAUCCGACGGUUCUGCGUGGAAGGGCCGUCGCUCAACGGAUAAAAGUUACUCUAGGAUAACAGGCUGAUCUCCCCCAAGAGUUCACAUCGACGGGGAGGUUUGGCACCUCGAUGUCGGCUCAUCGCAACCUGGGGCUGAAGUCGGUCCCAAGGGUUGGGCUGUUCGCCCAUUAAAGCGGUACGCGAGCUGGGUUCAGAACGUCGUGAGACAGUUCGGUCCAUAUCCGGUGCACGCGCAGGAAUAUUGAGAGGAUUUCUCCCUAGUACGAGAGGACCGGGAGGAACGCACCUCUGGUGUACCAGUUAUCGUGCCAACGGUAAACGCUGGGUAGCCAUGUGCGGAGAGGAUAACCGCUGAAAGCAUCUAAGUGGGAAGCCCACCUCAAGAUGAGUAUUCCCAUGGGGUAACCCAGUAAGGUCACGGGAAGAACACCCGUUGAUAGGCUCUACGUGGAAGCGCAGUAAUGUGUGAAGCGGAGGAGUACUAAUAGACCGAGGGC